CUCAGAUGACAUCCACGUGUACACAUCACCUGAUACAUCUAUUGCUCACCACCGCUCUUCUCCGAACAAAGCCACCUAACACCGCUGAUCUACACCUCUCUGCUCCAUAUUUGGCGCCUCUCUGCCCCAAAUUGGCGACGGAGACACAACGCCUACCAAAUCAAAAGGUUGCAGCUUUACCUACUUCGUCAACCACAACCUAAGCGACGGUUUCCGUCUGACGAUUAGGGCUCCAACAGGUUACAUACGACUGCCAUCUGCCCGUCGUCUUCCCACCUCUGCAAAACUUGUCAUCCACCCUUGUUCGUCAAGCUUUCGAGCAGCUCAGCACUUCAUCCUUCCACUUUCUACCUUCUCAUCCACUCUGCCAUACCACCUUAUGCUUCGAAUUGCUACCACCGCUACAGUCGGCAUCACCUAAUGCAUCCGUCCCUCACCAGCACUCUUCUACGAGAUAACGCCAGCGACACAAUCACCACCAAAUUCAAGGCUUUCGUCAGGCAAUUAGGGCUCCACCAGAAGGACAUCAAGCAACAGCGCUCAACACUACUCCGCUCUCAAACUUGCGGCCCUCGACACAACCACAACCAAGUCGAAGGCUUUCUUUAGGCGAUUACGGCUCCAGCAGCUUUUUUUAAUGCAAAGCGGACCUUCUUUUGGGUUGCGGCUGUUUCACUUCUCUAAACAGACCCCUUUUCGGACUACUGUCAUCGACUUAUUUUGUCAAGCAAACUACCCUUAGAGUGUAUUACCCAACCCACCGCAAUUACAUAAUCUAAUUUGAACUAAAAUAUAAUAACCCAACCCAGCGCAAUUUCGGCCGCCAAACUCACGAAAACAACAUCUCAUCACUAUUUUCAGGUUCUUACCAACUCAUUGUGUUGGCAGCUUUACUUCAGUCUGGUAAAAUUUGUAUUUUUAGUAUACUAUUUUUUUUACUCUUACUUUUUAUAUGCUUUUGUGUAUGCACAUUUUGUUUGCUUAAAAAUAUGUUGUCGUCGGACACGUCUGGUAAAAGGCGGAGAAUAGCUACCUCUUGUGAAACAGGUGAAACUUCUAGCACACCUCGCCGCAGGAUUUCACAACGGUUGUGUUCAAUCAUUUCUCAAACUUCAGGGUCAAUAGAGAGGCCGCUGCCAAUGUAUUCAGAUUGUGGAGAUUGCACUUAUAUUUGUGAACACUGCAGUGCUCUAUAUUGGUUUGCUGAGAGGGUUUUACAUACUCCACAUGUUCAUCAUCCUCGCUACAAUCAGUGUUGUAAAUCGGGCUCUGUGAGGCAAGGAAUCCGGAUCGUCAAGAGGACAAGCCGGUGUAAAUACGUGAUUGAAACGGGUUCUUAAAAGAUUGAAGGACACUCGCAUAUGAAGAUAGCGAGAGUUUAACAAAUCGUGGAUUUGACAGAGGAACGGUCCAAAGUACGACAAAUAGAGCACGCUCACCAAGGACCUAAAUCACGCAAUGAUUGCGAAUAAGUUAAUGGCAAAGAGAGCCUGUUAGAGUAAGCAUUAUCAGGCAAGGAAUCCGGAUCGUCAAGAGGACAAGCCGGUGUAAAUACGUGAUUGAAACGGGUUCUUAAAAGGAAUAAAUAUCAAAUGGAUACGUACAGCGCUAUUGCUUAGCGGCUACUAAGGCAAGGUAUCGAAACGCGUCAAUAUAUUGAUCCGAGCCAGGUAUGUAUAAUGAUUCAACUCAUCGGGUAGAACUUGAGAUUUUAUAAGAGUUAGACAAUGCUAAAAUAUAUUUAUUCGGUUAUCUUUUCGGUAAACCGAAUAAAUUGAAUUAUGAUUAUGGUGUUUUAGAAGCAUAUGAGUUUAUAAACAAGAUUAUAGUUAAAAGGUCGGAUUUUGGGUCAAACAAGUAUUUAAAAGUUCCUUUGUAGUAAAAGAAGGAUGAAAAUUUACCAAAUUGCCCUUGUAAGCUAAUUCGAAUGAACGACCCUUAAAAAUGAUUCGGAAACGAGUUUUUUGAUUAAAUAAAUGCUUAGAAUAAGAAAAGAUAGUGAAAGAUGUAGAUUCUUGGGUCGAAUGACUUUAUAUAGGUCUUUGCCGUAAAAUGAUAAUUCGAGGGGUAUAACUCGAAACAUAUAGAUAUCCACAUUAAAUCCAACACACAUAUAGUUGUGGUGGAAGAUUACUUGGUAAGGAAUGUAGGAAUAAGAUGCUAGAAAUGUAUGAAGGCGAGUUCAGGUUCUAAAGUGCUUAAAUACCCCUUAACGGGUCAAAAUAAGUAUACGAGUGGAAACGUAUUUAAAUUGUGUAAGAAACCUGUGAUUAGAAUCUAACAUGGUAGAUAACAUUAAUUUGAAGAGGUGCAUGUGAAAUAAGGAUUAAACAAAUAUGUUUGUUUGAUAAAAUGCAUAAACGGGUUGAAAUUUGGUAAAACGGCAAGGAGUCGAAGGCUUAGAAGUCUCAAAAUUUAUUAUGUAGGAUGUUGGAUUUUAACUCCAUAUGAUGGGGGAUCAAAUUACAAUCACGUAGGAAGAAACGGUAGGUCAAACGGACAAGCGGAUUGAAAGAUACGAAAGUUUUCGUGUCAAAAACGGCAAAAAUGGAAGGGUCUGAUUCAGGGGCCACCGUAACUUACGGUGGGCACCGUAAGUUACGGUGGGGGGCUGAAAUCGCUACGCCAGUUACCUCCUGCCUUACGGUGGAGGUAAUUUAGAACAAGGGCCACCGUAACUUACGGUGCCCACCGUAAGUUACGGUGGAGGCCAGUUUCAAGUUCUUGUUUCUAGGAUCAAGAGAUCAAUGUUGGUGUUUCCUGAUUUCUUUGUUUAAUUUGAUUAUUCGACCCAAUUUCCUUGUAUUACUAGUUAUUUAAUUAUCAA